rnacentral:misc_RNA from 1 species
GUGAAUCAUCGAAUUUUUGAACGCAAAUUGCACUUUCUGGUAUUCCGGAAAGUAUGCCUGUUUGAGGGUCAGUAAAAUAACAAACUGUGUCGUUUCUGCAUUUCGUGGUGACGCGUCUGAAUUGGGUCGUCUUACCUUCGGUUAAGGUACUUAAAAUUUUUGCAUGAUAUUUGAACGUAUUUAAAUCGUUUACGUACGUUUGAGAUAUAGGAUGCUUAUUAGGUUC